GCGUAGUGUAGUGGUUAGCACGCUCGACUCCCAAUCGAGAGGACCGGGUUCGAGUCUCGGGAGCAGCG
rnacentral:tRNA from 1 species